AUAAUAAAACAGCAUGUUAUGUAUGUGGCGGUGCCCGACCCCACCUUGGCACCGUCCCCCUAACUCUCCCUUUAGAGAUAGAAGAUUGCUUCUUAAGCCUUUUUGCCUACCAAUAUGACUUUAAUAGGUCCCUCUGCAUGGCAUGGACGGCAGAAUACCCUCUCUUAGUUGAAAAUGUUAAGCCACCAGAUGGAAUCACAGUCUAUAGAGGUAAUUACACUUGUUAUGCCGUGUAUGACGGGAUUGGUAAAUUCAUG
rnacentral:lncRNA from 1 species